GCGAACGAAGGGUCCCGCUGUACCUAGUUAAUGCAGAGUUUAGGUAAAAAGCAUUACUGUUCUGCAUCUUAAAAAUUACUGUCCUGUGAUCUUCUGUUAAAUGCUCCUUGUCGAGGUAUUCCUAUGCUCUGAAGACGUACUGUAAAUAUUUAGUCCAAAAUUUGCAAUGGCUUUUCGGAGAAAUCCUCUUAUGCACUUAAGUCGAUUCUUUUCUCCACCUCUCAUUUCUGUAAAGUUGGUUACACCAGCAAGACGAGCGCUGGAAGCGCCUUCUCUUCCUUGUUGGUUCAGGAAUUCCAAUGCUCCUCCGAAUUUACACUCAACGAUGAAAUUUUUCUGCUCUACAGGCAAUGAUUCGAGCAUGUCUCACGGUACACACGGAGCAGUUAAAGAGGGAGAAGAGAAAGAAGAUGAAGAAGAAGAAGAUGGAGAUGAAGAUGAAGAUGAAGAUGAAGAUGAGGAGGGUGGGGAGUAUGUGAAUGCGGAAACAGGGGAAAGGGGAGGGCCCAGGGGACCAGAGCCUACUAGGUACGGAGAUUGGGAGAAAGGCGGCCGCUGUUCCGAUUUUUGAUCAGGGCUGGUUAAAUUUGUUCUAGCCAGGAGCAAGGAAUGUGAAGGAACUCUGCAGCUUCUUUCUCCAAAUUGGAAUUGUAGGAAAAAAAUUGCUAAACCACCAUGUCUUCAUAAUCAUUUAGAAUUAUAUAUGGCAUUUUCUAAUGAACAUGCACGAAAAGUUUGGCAGAGCUAGAGGACCUUUGGAAUCUGCUAAAAGUCAUAUAUUCCAUUAGAGUAAUUGUAUGAUAUUUAAGAAGCCACAUAUUCUACUAAAGAAUAGAGAGGUCUUACAACAAGGCAUUUGGUCUGGAUAAUCGAAGAAAUGUAUUUGUUUGGUAAAAAGGAGCAACUGUUUGUCAACCUUCUUAUCAACAAUAUAAUCCACAUUGUGCUGUAGGAUUAAAAUGGCAAAAACACAAUUACAGGUAAAAUUGACUGAAAGGUUCAUCGAAAACAAUUUAUUAUUGGUAUUUUCUU